rnacentral:rRNA from 1 species
UACGUAGGCAGCAAGCGUUGUUCGGAGUUACUGGGCGUAAAGGGUGUGUAGGCGGUCCUCUAAGUUUGGUGUGAAAUCUCCCGGCUCAACUGGGAGGGUGCGCCGAAAACUGGGGGGCUAGAGUACUGGAUGGGAGAGUGGAAUUCCUGGUGUAGCGGUGAAAUGCGUAGAUAUCAGGAGGAACACCUGUGGUGUAGACGGCUCUCUGGACAGUAACUGACGCUGAGACACGAAAGCGUGGGUAGCAAACAGG